AUACAUCAAAAUGUUUAGAAAGGGUACCUUUGCAAAUGUCCAAAGUCAAGUGGUAUAUACAUUGUGUAUAUAUAUGAUUAGUAAAUGGCAGGUUUGUUCUUGUUCUCAUGCUCAUUUUGUAAUGCAGGUGGAUGACAAUGUGCAAAAAUUCCUAAUUGUCAAUGAACCAAAUGACGGAAGGAUGAGAAAAAUGAAGGUGGCUUAUACAAUUGCGUUAAGGAGAAGUAACAAACUACAGUGAGGGAUAGUAAGUCUGAUUUUUUUUUUCUAUUUUUGACUUGUGCAUUUACAUUUUAUAAAUGUCUUAUGUGUUUGUGUUUAGGAGUCCCAACAAAUAUCCUACCUCCAGCUCAGGUAGAUAAUGAAGAGAGAUGCAACUCCUAAAAGUGGUAUCACUUUAGAAGAAAUUCCACCUCCUAUUAUGGCUCUCUAGAAUGUAGGACUGGUCCUUCAAUGUUUCAGCAGUUUACAAUGUCAAAUGCUAAUCUCGAUUUACAACCAAGGAUGCAAAUCAGAGCACCUCCACAGAGGAGGGUUACUUUUUUCUUCCACUAGGGUGCAAACCGUUGCAGUUAACUCAAUUAUAAGGGAAGAAGGACAAAAAUUUUUGGAUCUAAGCCAGCACAGUCAAAUGGACAAUUAAGAUUCAAUUUUAGGAACUUUUGGCAAUCAAACAUUUUUUUGAAAUAUGUGCAAACUUUUUGUUGGUAAUAACCUAUUUUCCUUAAAUAGUGCCACAUUAGUAUAAUUUUGAAUGUAAACAUUGGCAUUUGCAAUGUUAAGUACCUUUCAAUUUUUUUGGAAUUACUGUUUAUUAUGCUAUGUUAAAAGGAAAUUUUUCAAUCCACUAUUAAGUAGCUUCCAGUUUUUUCACUUUCAGAUUUAAUGCAGUUUAUGCUGCAAUGUUAAAUGCAGUGUUUUAGUCCACUGUUAAUUCCAGAUUGCACAAAAAAAAUGAGUACAAUUCUUCAUAAAAGUGUACUCCUAGCAUACAUUUGUUACCAAAACUGAAAUAUAUACCUAAUACAUAUAUUUUACAAUCCACAAUAAUAACAAAUAACCCCCCAAAAAUAUCCAAGAAAAAUCAAAUCUUGAAGCCAUUUUUCUAGCCCCACCAUUAGCUCCAAAUGAUAAAAAACAACACCAUGGCCACUAACUUUUUUUUUCUUAUUUUUCUGUUUCUCCUUCUCAGCUCCUCAACAUUUUCUUCCAAGCGAUUUAUCCUCCUCAAUAACCCUGGUAUAAUCACCUUAGU